UAAUAUAUAGAUGAAACGUAUAUUUAAUUUGUCGCAUUGUGUAUGUUCUGUCCCUCAUGGGCGCACGUGUAUAGCACAUCUAUAUAAUUACUAGGUCUAUGACAUUUUAUUUCGCUGUAUUUUGAUGUACUCUUUUCAUACAUAGAGAUUUUCCUUUUUUUAUUCCACACUCCAUACUUAAUGUUAAUAAACAUAAACCACAGACUACACACAUCUUUUAUGAUCUGUAGAAUUUUAACUCAUUUGAAAUUUAAAAAUAUAAGGACCUCCUUUAGCAUGUAAUAAUUAAAAGCGAAAAAAAACCACCUACUUGUCAUAAAAACUGUAAAAACUAGUGUUUUCGUUUCCUUGUGAAAAUAUUAUUUAAUCUUAUUUACGAAUUACAAAUUGCUAAAGACAUGCAACGAGCAAGCACAGGAAGCAUAACGCAGCUCGUGCGCGUUGAGAGACUACGCGCUUUGCUCACUACCAUCACCGUGCCAUGGGAGAUCCACUGCAUGCCCUGGGAGGCACAUUACGUCGCAAACUCGCCGCAAAACUUGUCUGAUCCAGCGAUGUUGGAGCAGGACAAUUCGACGAAGAAACCCGGCGCCUGGCGAGACACGCUAUCGUCAAUCAUAACUCUGCAGGCGGUGCCCGUCUCGCGUUCUUUGUUCAGUCUUUAAUGCAGAUGCAGCAGUGCUGUCUAAAUUAAUAAAUAUGUAAGCUGCAAGUCGUCCUGAUGAAAUUGUUUCCGGAAAGUCUUCAAAGCGGAAUUAGAUAUCAGUAUAAGAUUGUGUUAAGAAAAUGUUACAUUGAGUGUCAAUAGGUAUCCAUUGAUAUUUAUUUAGAUUUGUUUAAAUAAAAAUAUUUAAAUAA